rnacentral:tRNA from 2 species
GGAAGAUUACCCAAGUCUGGCUGAAGGGGACGGUCUCGAAAACCGUUAGUUGAGCAAUCAUGCAAGGGUUCGAAUCCCUUAUCUUCCGCCA